UCCCCCGGUCCCUGGCCCCUCCCCGGCAGGGGGUGCUCACGAUCAGCAGCCGCCCCUCCCGGUCGUAGACAUAGACCAGCUCGCUCCCGGUGGACAGGAAGACCUCCGCCCCGUGGCACAGCACGCGAGGCUUGCCCGCCGCCAGGCCCCCGAGCGGGCAGCAGAAGCCCGCCAGGACACUGCUGCGUCUGAGCUUAACAUGGACCGAAGUGUCCCUUCUUUCAUGGCUGAACGAACUGUCUGCGGGUGUGUUGGACUGAACGGACAGUGGGGAAAAAGGCCACCAAGAAUGCUCUGAGAACUGAUGGGAAAGGGGAAAAGAAAAGCCUGAGGAGUCCAGAAGGUCUCUGCACUCAGCACUUAGGCCCCUUCUGCCAGCAGGUCUUUGUGGCCUAAGUGCAGUGAGAUUGUGAGCAGACCUGUCAACCUAGAACUCCUUACACAGUGAAAAUAUCCUUCAGAAAUGGAGAACAACGUACUUCUCAGACACACAAAAGCAGCCGGGAACACAAGAAAUAUUAAAGGGGUCCUCCAGACAGAGCAGUGCCAGAUGGAAACCAAAGUCUGCCCAGGACGGGGAACAGGCAGGGUGCCUGCCUGUGACCAGAGCAACUCCCAUGAGGAGGAUGGGAGCCGUGUUGCUAAUUCCCAGGGAAGCACCCAACUCCGACUUGUUCAAACCAGAUCACAGUUUUCAAAAAAAUCAUUUUUAUAGCUUUCACAGGAAACAAAGGUUUAGAAAUGGAGAACUGCUCAUCUAAGUGGUUAACCUAAACUCGGGUCCCCUCAGGAGAGCCUAACUUCUGCCAAACAGCUCCAACAUUCACUCCUGCUGAGGCCCUGUUAGGCACCAUUUCUCCUUUUCAGAAACUGAAACAGUCGGUGUUGCAGUGGUUUCACUUGUAUUAUGUACCCCUAAACCCAGUGUGUGUCACCCCUACUUCUGCUUAUAAGCCCUAACACCACAGAAGCCUGCCUGAGUAGCUAACAAAGGCCCUGGAAAUGCCAAAGAGUCCCUUAUCCACAAGCUAGGCUCUAGACGACCACGGCUGACCAACAGCUCCCAUGGCCAGAAUGCACCAAAAUUAGCAACGUCCAGGACAGGUCAGCAUCCACGCUGCUCUCCAUCCACUUCUCUCUUUCGGUACCAUUGCAUUUUUACCUUAUAAAACACAUCAGGCACGUACUGCUCGCUGCUGGACUCCUUGGCAUAGCCGAGCUCAGGGGCGUCCUUGCAGGGCAGCAGGCACUCAUCUCGGACCAGCGCCAUGCACUGAUUGGACACCUGGUACCCUUCAAAGUGCACCUGGUUGUCGGGGCCACCUGCAAGAGAGAGACCUUCAGCGAGAAUCCUCCAAAGGACGUUCAAAACAAGUGUCAUCCUUUACUUUGGACCUGCAGAACCAACUCUCAUGAGUGUGUCUCGGGUAAGAAUCAAAAAUGUUUGACAGCAAUUUUACGACAGCCUUGGGCACAAGGCCUUGAGCACAGGGUGUACAGAUGCCACUGCAGCUCCUCAAACAUGCCCCACCAGCGACACGCUCUCUCAGAAUCGGGAGGCAAGACUGUUAAACCUUCUCGAACACCCACCCAAAAGCAUACUUGGGCUUCUGGUUUUUAGUAUCACAGAGAUGUGAACAACAGACAGAGCCCUGUGUUCCAGCAAAUUCUGUUCUUGAGUGAAUGCAGGGAGACGAAUGGGAGUGGAUGGGAGAACACAGAAACCUUUCCCAGCACAGUGUCAGUAUCUGCAUAGCAUGGAGAGCAGCCCUGACCUCAGACACCUGUGCAGCUGGCACAUCAAGGAGGCGUGGACCCCACCACAAUGCCUAGGAGGUUGCUCUCCCUGCACCGAGCCCUGCCCUCCACGCCUUCCACUCUAACCUCUCUCAGGCCCUGCUCCAAAGAAACCCACAGUAGGGCUUACAGCUUGGGACAAGGGUAAAACCCAUCCCAAACAGGUCAGGAGGUCAGGCAGUACUGAGCAUGCAGCCAUCUUCCUCCCCUGCAGAAUCAGGGUCACACUCUGACAACUGUUAACAGCCAUCAUUUUUAUGGCUUUGGAGAAUUUUAAAAAACCUUCAAUAUCUCUUAGUUUCUUUGACAAAAACAGAAUAAGUUACUGAUCAGGGAACAGAAAUUUUAUCUGUCUGGCUUUCAAACAUUUACCAGAAAGCAGAUCUGAUGGCCAAACAAUCAAAAAUGUGAAGGACAGGGCAGAGCCAGCCUCCAAGGGACAAACAGGGGCCUGUGUCUGCUCGACUCUGCACACCAGAGGCCAACAGCAGCUGGCUUCCAAAUGCUGCGUCACGCUGGGCUCCAAAGGCCAGGUGGACAGUCAAGCCUAGCAUCUUCUCUCUGGCCCUCAACUCACACACUCGGGGGAGGUGGCCAGGCCUGGACAGUGACCACUAACUAAGGUCAAGGCAGCAAACACAGGGCAUGUGACCCUCUGGUGCAAUCCGGGGAAUGAACGUCAUAGCACAACGAGUGUGCAGUUCACAAGGAGCAGAGGAGGUCGGGAAGGAAUCUGGAGGAGCCGCCCUUGGUGUGUGUACUGUAAACCUGUGCUGGUUUUGAGAUAGAUGUGGCCUGUGAGAAUCAGGGAAAAAUGGAAAGCAGUAUUUAUAAAACAGAAGAUUCUUAAAAAAAGCAAACUCAGUCCAUAUGGAUAGUCUCCAAAGGCAGAGUCACUGACAGGAACCACAAGCUCCCCAUUCCAUGUGGAAAAGCAAGAAACCAGGUCCUGAGGGGUUCUCUGAACCUUGCUCUGGUACCGUCCCAGAGAUGAAGCAGGCCAGGCCAGUUAACUCUCAUUCCCUUCCCAAAUCAGUCCAUCAGGAAGUCCACUGUGUGAUGGAAAGGGGCGGUGAUAAAGGACAGCUGCUACUGAGUCUGAGACGCAGCCCAGAAAGUAACAUGCACAGCUGAGAAAUGAGUACGAGUGUGCCAGGUGACCGAGACACAGACACCAGCAUCGUGGCAGGGAGUUUAAACUUGGGCUCUGUGAUGAUUCUCCUUCCACAAGCUCCUUCAUGUGCACAUGAGCAAACCCCACAUGUAAUCAUCACUCUUUUCCCCUAAAGGUUUCAAGCUAGAGAAGUUCUUAGAAGGGAUCCGCAGACACAAGGCCAAAUGGUAAUGCCCCCACACCCCAGCCAGCACCUGGGCCUGCAGCAUCAGCAGCAGCUGUGGGGAGCUGACAGCAGCCUGACCAUGGAAGCACCAUGAACCCCGGGACACACCAGCCAGUCUCCCGGGAGACGGCCAUAAACACACAGGACUGCUCCUUCCUGUCCCAUCAGGGUCUUAAGGAUGGGACUUCGGCAAGGGCAUUUCAAACAGCUCCCCAGGGUACCAACACGUCCCUGGUCAAGAACCACUGAUGUGGAGGAAGAGAACAAUCUGUCUGGAGUCAGAAGAUCUCUGACACUUUGGAUAACCACCUUCCAUCGCUGCCCCCUGGGAAAGGGAGAGGAAUUAUGAGUCUGAGCAUCUCACAGCAUUACCAAGAGGGACAAAUCAGCACAGAUGUGAAAGGACUCUAACUGCAGAUCUUAUUAUAAGUUAAGUGAUUUUCUGCCUUAUAGUUCGAAAACCCUAGUAAAGUGCCAAUUUCGGAGGCAAAAAUUCCAAGGUCAAUCUAUAAUUUCCAAAUUCCCACCUGAGUCAAUAACUGAAAGUACAGGCAGCCCCCAAGUUGGAAACUAUUUAUAAUUCGAAACAUGUACCAGUUCUUUGGGCCCACUGAAUAAUUCCCCAUAGAAACAGUAAUUAAAGGGGUUAGGUUACCAUGGGAGCCCAUGGAAGCCUAAAACAGCAGUUCUCAGAAGAAGCAGUUCUGGAAAUCUGUGGAGAUGAUUUUUGGUUGUCUCAACGAAGGGGGGCAGCGGGGGGCAGGGGCUGCCAGUUUUAGCAGGCUAGAGUCAAAGGUACCAGACAUCCUGCUGUGUCCAGGGAGUCCCACACAAUAAAGAACUGUUCCAUAUCCCACAUGGCCUUGAAAUGUCCCCCUAACACUCCUGUAGGCAAAACCCCUAUUUGUGAUGAUCUAGGAUUAGAAUCAAUUGUAUUUUAUACACAGCCACAGAAACAAACACGCCCAGCUUUAACACACAGAGAAUCCUCUAGAAGCGUGAUACCACAUAAGCUGAGGAAGGGCCCUGCUUGGCUCAGAGCUCCGUGGAGAGCUGCUGAGUGUCUGGGAACCACGUCGCUGAUGCCUGUGCAGGCCCCGCCCCACAAGGUUGGCAGCUCCGGCUCCUCCCCUGUGCUCUCCUCAGCAGGCACCAGUCCCCAAGCACUGGCACGCAGAAUGCACUGUCUUAUUACAUGCAUGCUCCUUCACUA